CCUACGGGAGACAGCAGUGGGGAAUAUUGCACAAUGGGGGAAACCCUGAUGCAGCGACGCCGCGUGAGUGAAGAAGUAUUUCGGUAUGUAAAGCUCUAUCAGCAGGGAAGAAAAUGACGGUACCUGAUUAAGAAGCCCCGGCUAACUACGUGCCAGCAGCCGCGGUCAUACGUAGGGGGCAAGCGUUAUCCGGAUUUACUGGGUGUAAAGGGAGCGUAGACGGGAGCACAAGUCUGGAGUGAAAUGCCGGGGCUUAACCCCGGAACUGCUUUGGAAACUGUGCAGCUAGAGUGCAGGAGAGGUAAGUGGAAUUCCUGGUGUAGCGGUGAAAUGCGUAGAUAUAAGGAGGAACACCAGUGGCGAAGGCGGCUUACUGGACUGUAACUGACGUUGAGGCUCGAAAGCGUGGGGAGCAAACAGGAUUAGAUACCCGGGUAGUC
rnacentral:rRNA from 1 species